UGUCCAGCAAUUCCUAUCCCUACCUCCUCGCGGUACUGGCCGGGGUACGAGUUACCUUAGAGCAGAUCGGGUAACCAACCCCCGGUGGGAACUUUGGUCGUAUGCUGACAGGAAAGG
rfam:Aedes aegypti strain Liverpool supercont1.737 genomic scaffold, whole genome shotgun sequence.